UAGAACAAAUUACGCAUAUCCCUUCUGGAAAAACUAAAGACGUAACGACAAGUCAAGCAGUUGUAAUAGUCGUUUGUGUUAGUCUUAUAGUUAUAGUAUCUGCAACUAUUUUUAUAACGUGGUACAGAAAACAGAUAAAUAUAGAAAAUACAACAACUGCUAGUAGGACAUACGAAUCGCUUCAAAUGAAUAGUUUCAAUUCCGGAGUCAGCUAUUCCGAUAUCCAGCCAACAGAGAUAGGAUGCAAUCAAGAAAAAGAAUGUAACAUAAAAGACACUAGCGAUACUUCAUCUUCUAUACAACAAAGCCAUUCUGAUAAUAGAACCUACAUUAACAUGUCAUUUGACAAUGAUAGUUCAUUGAUUAAAGAAGAAAAUCGACAAGUAGUAUUGGCAACGCUCACAGUAUGGCCAUGUGCUCAAGAUAGUGAACACAUAAAGAAAGGAAGUAAUAGACACUCUAAAAUAGUGUACGAAAAUGUGAAAGAUACAGAUCGAAUCACUCCAAGGCAAGGGAGCACUGAUCAUCGAACAUCUUUAUAAAGAUAAAAAACACGAAUCCGGUAAAGUCAGUAACAUGGUAAUUGAACAGGAGCAUUUUAGGUGUUACCCAAUAAGGUCACAAGUUGUUCAUAGAUGGACUAAGACAAAUGACAGAUGAUUCACAAUUAGUUUUAAUAAUUAGGGAGUGUAUUCAAAAGAUUUACAAUUUACAUUCAAUUUGUUUGUUUUUUGUAUUUAUUGCUCAUAGACUCAAUGCCGGACAUGUAUCUUUUACAAAGAUUCUGAUAAUGCAAUUUUCGUUUAUUAUUCUUGCAAACACGAA